rnacentral:rRNA from 1 species
AUUGAACGCUGGCGGCAUGCCUUACACAUGCAAGUCGAACGGUAACGGGCCUUCGGGUGCCGACGAGUGGCGAACGGGUGAGUAAUACAUCGGAACGUGCCCGAUCGCGGGGGAUAACGAGGCGAAAGCUUUGCUAAUACCGCAUACGAUCUACGGAUGAAAGCAGGGGACCGCAAGGCCUUGCGCGGACGGAGCGGCCGAUGGCAGAUUAGGUAGUUGGUGGGAUAAAAGCUUACCAAGCCGACGAUCUGUAGCUGGUCUGAGAGGAUGAUCAGCCACACUGGGACUGAGACACGGCCCAGACUCCUACGGGAGGCAGCAGUGGGGAAUUUUGGACAAUGGGCGCAAGCCUGAUCCAGCCAUGCCGCGUGCAGGAUGAAGGCCUUCGGGUUGUAAACUGCUUUUGUACGGAACGAAAAGCCUUCUUUUAAUACAGGAGGGUCAUGACGGUACCGUAAGAAUAAGCACCGGCUAACUACGUG